rnacentral:lncRNA from 10 species
GCUACAGUGAGCUAUGAACGAGCCACUGCAUUCUUGCCUGGACAACACAAUGAGACUGUCUCAAAAAAAAAAAAAAAAAAAGCAAAGAUGUGGAGACAGGAACUGGCAGGAGAGUUAUCUGCUGAGGGACAGGAGUGGGCUUGGUUGUCUGCGGAGUAUGGGGAAGGUUUACAGGGGGCAUUGUUGUGGGGUAUUGAGGCUGAACAAAGGGGGAUCAGCGAGAAAGAGGGGACAAGCUGAGGUAGGAACCUCCCAUUGGCGCUGACCACUGCCUUUUAGGUUGAAGAAGGCUUGUAACACAAAGUGGGAGGGGCCGAGGGAGGGCUGGAUAGAGGGAGUAUCUAGGAGACCCCCGAACACUUAGUGAACACAAUGGGCCCUGAGGAGGCAGAGCAAACUGGGGAGCUCAGAAAGGCUUACCAGAGAAGGUGACAUUUGAG